GAUGAACGCUAGCGGGAGGCCUAACACAUGCAAGCCGAGCGGUAUUGUUUCUUCGGAAAUGAGAGAGCGGCGUACGGGUGCGUAACACGUGUGCAACCUGCCUUUAUCUGGGGGAUAGCCUUUCGAAAGGAAGAUUAAUACUCCAUAAUAUAUUGAACGGCAUCGUUUAAUAUUGAAAGCUCCGGCGGAUAGAGAUGGGCACGCGCAAGAUUAGCUAGUUGGUGAGGUAACGGCUCACCAAGGCGAUGAUCUUUAGGGGGCCUGAGAGGGUGAUCCCCCACACUGGUACUGAGACACGGACCAGACUCCUACGGGAGGCAGCAGUGAGGAAUAUUGCUCAAUGGGUGCAAGCCUGAACCAGCCAUCCCGCGUGAAGGACGACUGCCCUAUGGGUUGUAAACUUCUUUUGUAUAGGGAUAAACCUACCCUCGUGAGGGUAGCUGAAGGUACUAUACGAAUAAGCACCGGCUAACUCCGUG
rnacentral:rRNA from 1 species